GUUCAAUAUGUAUCUAUUGCACCCAGCACUGGGCUGGGUCCUCUGAAAGAAAUCCCGUAAAACCUCAAGGAGCUCACAGGCUGGAAUAUUCUUUCACAGGCAAGCAAGGACCCAGGGCUGUGCUCAAGCUGGGCUACAAGGGCUGGACCAGGGUCUGGGGUUGGGCAUAGGUUGGGCUGACUUGCAGUUGCUGGCCUUGGAGAAAGGAGAAGCAAAGCCACUGUGAUUGGAGGAAGGAGAUUCAGGAAGCAAGGACAGCUCUUAGUGUCAGUUCCAAUGGUUGGGUAUGAGAAAGAGGGAGUAAAAACUGGGGCUUCAAGAAGGCAGGGACUAUAGUUGUAUUUCCUCCCAGUGUAUUCACAGUGCAUCUGGUUCACCAAAGACUCUCAAGGUGACUUCAUCCAUGGCGGCUGUGUGGCAGCGAGCUACUUGCGCAUCUCUUCUGUUCCGUGAGGUCAUGUUGGCAGCUUGAAAUUGAUCAAGUGGGAAGCAUUUACAUCACAGAAAUUGGGCAGAGCCAGGAUGAGAACCCAGAUUUCCGGAUUCCAAGUCCAACAUCUUUUCAACCAUCUCAUGGUCAUCCAGAAGUGCAACCAGGAAAAAGUCUGUAGGGAGAUCAUGCCUGUAAUACUCUUGCUGGUUAAAAAGAGUAUUAUGGAUUUUCUGACAGCUCUUUUGCUGUGUCACAUCAGCCCCCUGUCUGAUUUUAUGCUUACAUGGCCAUUACUCUCUAUUAGCAUACUAAUAAAUGUUUAUGAGAUUA
rnacentral:lncRNA from 1 species